GGGAUUAACACAUGAUCCCAGGGACAGUGUGUCAAUCAAAAUCAACUGAGAAAUUACACUGCUCUAUUUGAGAAUUUCUCCGGAACCCGCAUGGUAGUGGAGUUGGGUGAACUUCAUAUCUAUGUGGCCAUCGUGGAGAUCUGGACACACUGUUUCUAUUAUCUAUCAGUCAUUUACUGAUCCAUCUUCUACCUCCACAUGUCCGGUGACUUCCCUUUAUAUUUAAAAUCCAAUCAAAUGCCUUAGCUUCUAGAAACGUGGUCUCAUAAAAUUCUCAGGAUGUACCACAGGAUUGAAAGUGGCUGGUGCCGGUGCCAAUUAGGAUGAGGCGCUUGCCUUCAGGAAGAGUCCCAAAGCCAAGCUCUGACUCCAGGACCAGGGUUCUGGUCCGUCUCUCUAGCUGGUUCAGCUCUGAAUCCACACCUGAGAAGCAUGAACGCCCGCCCAGGGACAAAGGGCUACAAGGCUGGUGUAUAUUUACAUGCACAGAAACCGGAGCCAUGAAUCAGUGAGCCAGAGUGGUAGCUUUUAAAAUUCAGGAAGCGAAUUGGGGCUUCAUUAAAGCAGUAUCUUUGCCGUGUGCCUGGCCUGAUGUCCACUCCUCAGAGAUAAAUCUUCAGCCCUACUGCCCAGGAAGUCCGACCAAGCUACUGACGGGAGGAUUUUUCUCACUUUGCUUCCUUCUCAGAAUAAAUUAUCUCCUUCCUCCCCCACUUCCUCCCCAUCCUCAAACCUGCCCCAACUCUCCUGGAAUACCUCGGCCUGAUCAGCAGGAUUUCCACCCCUAAGCCCAUCAAGACAGCAAGAAAUGUCCAGCUGGCAGCAUUUGCCCCUGUCUGAUCAUUAAAUUGGAAAACAGCUGUA